rnacentral:rRNA from 1 species
AUUGAACGCUGGCGGAAUGCUUUACACAUGCAAGUCGAACGGCAGCACGGGGCAACCUGGUGGCGAGUGGCGAACGGGUGAGUAAUACAUCGGAACGUGCCCAGUCGUGGGGGAUAACGUAGCGAAAGUUACGCUAAUACCGCAUACGAUCUAUGGAUGAAAGCGGGGGAUCGCAAGACCUCGCGCGAUUGGAGCGGCCGAUGUCAGAUUAGGUAGUUGGUGGGGUAAAGGCCUACCAAGCCGACGAUCUGUAGCUGGUCUGAGAGGACGACCAGCCACACUGGGACUGAGACACGGCCCAGACUCCUACGGGAGGCAGCAGUGGGGAAUUUGGACAAUGGGCGCAAGCCUGAUCCAGCCAUUCCGCGUGCAGGAUGAAGGCCUUCGGGUUGUAAACUGCUUUUGUUACGGUAACGAAAAGGACUCUGGUUAAUACCCGGGGCGUCAUGACGGUACCGUAAGAAUAAGCACCGGCUAACUACGUGCCAGCAGCCGCGGUAAUAGUA